AGAGUUUGAUCAUGGCUCAGAUUGAACGCUGGCGGCAGGCCUAACACAUGCAAGUCGAACGGUAACAGGAAGAAGCUUGCUUCUUUGCUGACGAGUGGCGGACGGGUGAGUAAUGUCUGGGAAACUGCCUGAUGGAGGGGGAUAACUACUGGAAACGGUAGCUAAUACCGCAUAACGUCGCAAGACCAAAGAGGGGGACCUUCGGGCCUCUUGCCAUCGGAUGUGCCCAGAUGGGAUUAGCUAGUAGGUGGGGUAACGGCUCACCUAGGCGACGAUCCCUAGCUGGUCUGAGAGGAUGACCAGCCACACUGGAACUGAGACACGGUCCAGACUCCUACGGGAGGCAGCAGUGGGGAAUAUUGCACAAUGGGCGCAAGCCUGAUGCAGCCAUGCCGCGUGUAUGAAGAAGGCCUUCGGGUUGUAAAGUACUUUCAGCGGGGAGGAAAGGAGUAAAGUUAAUACCUUUGCUCAUUGACGUUACCCGCAGAAGAAGCACCGGCUAACUCCGUGCCAGCAGCCGCGGUAAUACGGAGGGUACAAGCGUUAAUCGGAAUUACUGGGCGUAAAGCGCACGCAGGCGGUUUGUUAAGUCAGAUGUGAAAUCCCCGGGCUCAACCUGGGAACUGCAUCUGAUACUGGCAAGCUUGAGUCUCGUAGAGGGGGGUAGAAUUCCAGGUGUAGCGGUGAAAUGCGUAGAGAUCUGGAGGAAUACCGGUGGCGAAGGCGGCCCCCUGGACGAAGACUGACGCUCAGGUGCGAAAGCGUGGGGAGCAAACAGGAUUAGAUACCCUGGUAGUCCACGCCGUAAACGAUGUCGACUUGGAGGUUGUGCCCUUGAGGCGUGGCUUCCGGAGCUAACGCGUUAAGUCGACCGCCUGGGGAGUACGGCCGCAAGGUUAAAACUCAAAUGAAUUGACGGGGGCCCGCACAAGCGGUGGAGCAUGUGGUUUAAAUUCGAUGCAACGCGAAGAACCUUACCUGGUCUUGACAUCCACGGAAGUUUUCAGAGAUGAGAAUGUGCCUUCGGGAACCGUGAGACAGGUGCUGCAUGGCUGUCGUCAGCUCGUGUUGUGAAAUGUUGGGUUAAGUCCCGCAACGAGCGCAACCCUUAUCCUUUGUUGCCAGCGGUCCGGCCGGGAACUCAAAGGAGACUGCCAGUGAUAAACUGGGGGAAGGUGGGGAUGACGUCAAGUCAUCAUGGCCCUUACGACCAGGGCUACACACGUGCUACAAUGGCGCAUACAAAGAGAAGCGACCUCGCGAGAGCAAGCGGACCUCAUAAAGUGCGUCGUAGUCCGGAUUGGAGUCUGCAACUCGACUCCAUGAAGUCGGAAUCGCUAGUAAUCGUGGAUCAGAAUGCCACGGUGAAUACGUUCCCGGGCCUUGUACACACCGCCCGUCACACCAUGGGAGUGGGUUGCAAAAGAAGUAGGUAGCUUAACCUUCGGGAGGGCGCUUACCACUUUGUGAUUCAUGACUGGGGUGAAGUCGUAACAAGGUAACCGUAGGGGAACCUGCGGUUG
rnacentral:rRNA from 1 species